GCUGCAGAAAAAAAAAAAAAAAAACACAGAGAAACUAUGUUCCAUACAAGCAACAACUCUGGUUGAGAAGGCAUUCUUCUCUAGUGGAUUCUAUGGUAUUCAUGCUCUCUCAGCCUCCUCCCUGCAAGAACACAAGAAGGGUGCUCACACCCUGACCUUCUCUCAAAUCGAUAUGAGGGCUUUGCCAGGAAGGAGGGCAGGCAGUGACCAGGGCACCACAAUAAACUCGAAAUGACAACUCAGUAAGCCUGGCGUUAGACAAGGUGCCUUAUAAGGCUUGUCCCAAUCCACUCUCACAACAUCGUGAGGUGGGAAACAACAGCAGAAUUGACAGCUUAGGGAUUGUUAUGAGUAUUAAACAAGAUCAUAGCUCCGGCAAAGGGUUCGGGACCCUGGCACAUUCUAAGCUAAAGUUCAAUGGAUGUCAGCUGUAAUCAGUAUUAUCAUCCUACUUUAUAGGUCAAGAAACCAACUUGGAAAAACUAGGAAAUGUCCCCAGUGUCACACAGCUAAUAAACCAGUGGUAGAGUUGGAUUUGAAGCCUGGUGGAUUUACUCCUGAGCCCACCCACCACUGCUUCCACCGGAAAUGAUGUUCAUAGGAAGGAGUUAAUUGAGGAUAACACAGAAAUGAAACAUGAGACUAGAAGAAUGAGUUGUUGGAUAGAAAAAGAAAAACAUGGUACCUGGGCUGCAGUUUUUUUGUGCUUUGCAGCAAUCUCCUUAAUCUUGGGAUCCUCCAGCAGAGAAGGGUCCUCUGGCUUGGCCCUAGGGGCAGAAAAAGAUAACGAUGUGAACAGUCGCCAUGGUUACCAUGUGCAGAUGGACACCACUCCAAUCAGGGUUUCAAGAGUGAUCAUCAGAGCCUCUCCAUCUGGAAGACAGGCGGGAGGACCUGGAAGCUUGGGUCCUUCCCACGGGCUCUCAGCAUUUUGCAAAGGCUGGUUCGCCCUUGGGUGGCUGAAGUGGAAAUACUCCCAGAGGGUCAAGCAUGUCACUCUUGUUUGUUUGUGUGUUUAAUUUCCAUUUUUUCCCACUUUCAUCCCAUUUAGGUGUACCAAACACAUUACCUUAGACACAUUUUUCUUUCCAGUGACUUAUGGUCUCAUACCAACAUUUACCAAUUAUAAAAUUAUGUUUUUAAAAUUAUCAAGAGAAAGACCCACCCCUUGGAAGGCUCACCAAGGUCUAUCCGGAGAGCCCAGGGGGCUGUAGGCUGUAACGGUGAUGCCCUUGGAGUGGCAGUACUGGAUCAGUUUCUCCUGUGUGAGGUAGGGGUGGCACUCAACCUGCAAUAGCAAACAAUCCUCAGCAUGGGGGAAGGCGGCUUGUUUUUUGAGUUGUUCAUAGGGAGUUCUACACACACAAAAAGACAACCAAGCAAAGGCCAAACACCUGCCCACUGAUAUACUUGCUAAAUCAUCCAUGAGAUCAGCCUCACACCUCCCCAAAGUAUCCUGAUCACUGACCCCUGGGAUGAGACUCAGUACAUAGCACUGGACGUUCCUCCCAAUGUUUAAAACAGGGCAAGACCCUUACCCUUAUACCACACAGAAUUUACCUGGUUAGUCACUGGUUUAUAUUUCAGUCCAGGUUUGUUUAAGAGCCUCUCGAUCUGGAAGUGGUUGAAAUUGGAGAUCCCAAGGGCUUUCACCAGCCCUGCAUCCACCAGCUCCUCCAUGGCCUGUCAUAGAAAACAAUACCUUUUGGGCAGCCCCAGAGGGACUCCAGGGACCCUGGCUUGCCUUAGUCCUCCCUGGGGCAGAAAUUGCUUAGGAUCUACUGCAACAGUUAGUACAACCAUUCACAGGAAAUUUCAGUUCAGGGCCUGGGUAACCAUCAGUGACUGGUUCCAGCCCUACCGUCCCUCCUUAGCCCAAUUAAACUAGGAGUAACAGGUAAAGAUUUUAUGUGCUUGCCACUCUCACCUUACUCGUAAAGAGAUACAUAAAAAAUUAUACUUCUGUACAUAGGGGAAAUAUGAAAGUUUUGUCAUGAAAAAAUAAAGUAUAAGUCAAAAUUGACAUUUGCAAGUUGAUGAGAUGAUUUGAUUUUUAAUUAAGCCACAUGAUAGCAGGGAGCUACUGUUGUGUUUGUGCAUUGUACACCCAGACCUGGGCAAGCUGAGUUAGUUGGGAAGAGGCUGCAGCAUGUGGAGAAGCCUCAUUUGUGGAUUCUGAAUCAAUCUCUCCCACACCAACCAUGGUUUGCUUUGCAGGAAAGUCAUGCAUCUAGAUUAUGCCCUGGCAGGGGCACCCGACCAAGAAGUUAUGUGGUGCUGAAACCUGACCCACUGCCUGCAUACCCAGCCAUGCUUCCUGGUACAGAAACUACAGAUGUUUCUAUACCCAAGGAAGGGAAUAUUUGUAUACUUAUUAGCCUAUAUUGGGCAUUUUCCAAACUUGCCCAGAGAUAUCAUAUAUGUUAGCAGCAGCCUCCAAUGCAACAUGUAUUUAUUAGCCAUCGAUUACAUGUCCAGAUCCUGCCCAGAAGUUGUCAGGAUGUAAAAGUAUACAAUGUGCUUCCUUCUUCUGGGAUUCUCAUAGUCUGAUUAAAGUGAUAGGGUUCCCUUCUGUGGAGCAAUCAACCAUGACACUGAGGCUGCCUCGGAUAACAUGACAGUGGUAUAGACAGAGUCAGGGAGGGCAGAGAAGGAAGAGAUUCACACAGCCUGCAGUUGUCAGGGGAGACCUUCAGGUAGAGCUUAAACUGAGCCUCAAAAAAAAAAAGA